rnacentral:rRNA from 1 species
AUUGAACGCUGGCGGCAGGCCUAACACAUGCAAGUCGAACGGUAGCACAGAGAGCUUGCUCUCGGGUGACGAGUGGCGGACGGGUUAGUAAUGUCUGAGAAACUGCCCGAUGGAGGGGGAGAACUAAUGGAAACGGUACGUAAUACCGCCUAACGUCGCAAGACCAAAGUGGGGGACCUUCGGGCCUCACACCAUCGGAUGUGCCCAGAUGGGAUUAGCUAGUAGGUGGGGUAAUGGCUCACCUAGGCGACGAUACCCAGCUGGUCUGAGAGGAUGACCAGCCACACUGGAGCUGAGACACGGUCCAGACUCCUACGGGAGGCAGCAGUGGGGAAUAUUGCACAAUGGGCGCAAGCCUGAUGCAGCCAUGCCGCGUGGAUGAAGAAGGCCUUCGGGUUGUAAAGUACUUUCAGCGGGGAGGAAGGCGGUGGAGUUAAUAACUUCACCGAUUGACGUUACCCGCAGAAGAAGCACCGGCUAACUCCGUGCCAGCCGCCGCAGUAA